rnacentral:rRNA from 1 species
GUCCACGCCGUAAACGAUGGGUACUAGGUGUAGGGGUAUCGACUCCCCUGUGCCGUCGUUAACACAAUAAGUACCCCGCCUGGGGAGUACGGUCGCAAGACUAAAACUCAAAGGAAUUGACGGGGCCCGCACAAGCAGCGGAGCAUGUGGUUUAAUUCGAAGCAACGCGAAGAACCUUACCUAGACUUGACAUCUCCUGAAUUACUCUUAAAUCGAGGAAGCCCUUCGGGGCAGGAAGACAGGUGGUGCAUGGUUGUCGU